ACGAAGGGGGCUAGCGUUGCUCGGAAUUACUGGGCGUAAAGGGAGCGUAGGCGGAUAGUUUAGUCAGAGGUGAAAGCCCAGGGCUCAACCUUGGAAUUGCCUUUGAUACUGGCUAUCUUGAGUAUGGGAGAGGUUAGCGGAACUCCGAGUGUAGAGGUGAAAUUCGUAGAUAUUCGGAAGAACACCAGUGGCGAAGGCGGCUAACUGGCCCAUUACUGACGCUGAGGCUCGAAAGCGUGGGGAGCAAACAGGAUUAGAUACCCUGGUAGUCCACGCCGUAAACGAUGAGUGCUAGUUGUCGGCAUGCAUGCAUGUCGGUGACGCAGCUAACGCAUUAAGCACUCCGCCUGGGGAGUACGGUCGCAAGAUUA
rnacentral:rRNA from 1 species